rfam:Struthio camelus australis contig30588, whole genome shotgun sequence.
CUGGGCUACGGCGACAUGUACCCCAAGACCUGGUCAGGCAUGGUGGUGGGGGCUCUCUGUGCAUUGGCCGGGGUGCUCACCAUUGCCAUGCCUGUGCCUGUCAUUGUCAAUAAC